rnacentral:rRNA from 1 species
GCUUACGGCCACACGGCCUGAGUAUGCCUGAUCUCGUCCGAUCUCGGAAGCUAAGCAGGGUCGGUCCUGGUUAGUACUUUGAUGGGAGACCGCCUGGGAAUACCAGGUGCUGUAAGCU